AACAAACAACAGCAGCUGACAGGAUCAUCCAAGUCCUAUCCAACUUCUCCAACAAUUGAUCAGGCCCAAGUUCAGGGACUUACUCUAACAUAGGUGUGGCCCUGCCCCAGAUUCAAAGGAAAACCAAUGGUGCCCAUUGACUGUGUCUGAAGGAAACUGUUUACAUAGCUACAUGUGGAGUCAUUAUCACAAACCAGACAGACCUGGGAGGGCUCCUCAAACAAAGAUGACCUACCUUUCCUGGCCAGCACAGAAGUGAAUUAACUGAAGACUACCCAGAAUUCAGAGGGAGGAAUAAUAAAUGGCAUCCAUCAGGAAAGAUCCAGAGAUUUGAAACCAGAAGGAUUCCAGUUGAAUCACAGCUUGUCCACAGAGAGCAAUCAUCAAGUUGGCUGCGUUGAGCGGCAGGCUUAAACAGCUCAUUGCUAGCUUCUGAGGAGAGAAAGAACAAACCCUGACCUUUGAGUGGCAUGUGGAAUUUUAAGAGAGAGAAUACAGACAAAGCAGCAUGGGACCUCGUUGGUUAUUAAGAAGUGAUUAAUGUAGGCAAUAAAAGUCUAUAAAAGGGAAAGGUUCUGUCCACAUUCCUUUAUGCCGACCUCAAAACAUCUUUGCUACAGGCUGCAGGAUCA
rnacentral:sRNA from 1 species